rnacentral:rRNA from 1 species
GACGAACGCUGGCGGCGUGCCUAAUACAUGCAAGUAGAACGCUGAAGGAGGAGCUUGCUUCUCUGGAUGAGUUGCGAACGGGUGAGUAACGCGUAGGUAACCUGCCUGGUAGCGGGGGAUAACUCUUGGAAACGAUAGCUAAUACCGCAUAAGAGUAGAUGUUGCAUGACAUUUGCUUAAAAGGUGCAAUUGCAUCACUACCAGAUGGACCUGCGUUGUAUUAGCUAGUUGGUGGGGUAACGGCUCACCAAGGCGACGAUACAUAGCCGACCUGAGAGGGUGAUCGGCCACACUGGGACUGAGACACGGCCCAGACUCCUACGGGAGGCAGCAGUAGGGAAUCGUCGGCAAUGGACGGAAGUCUGACCGAGCAACGCCGCGUGAGUGAAGAAGGUUGUCGGAUCGUAAAGCUCUGUUGUAAGAGAAGAACGAGUGUGAGAGUGGAAAGUUCACACUGUGACGGUAUCUGACCAGAAAGGGACGGCUAACUACGUG